rnacentral:misc_RNA from 1 species
AAUUACCAUGCAGCAUCAAUACCAGCAUUGUUUUUGUUUUAACCUUAACGAUGGCAAGGUAUCUUUAAGUAGGAGAGUCCAACAGAUGCAAGUAUCGAGAUCUAUUGUACAUAUUUUAACCAAACCACCCGUCUCCGUUCACAACGCAUGUCCACCUUCUAGAUGAGCAACCUCAAGUAUCCAACAGAAAGGAAAGUGCCAUAAAUGAACAGCUUUCCUUGAACCUAAUUAUCUGCAACAUCUAACAUUAAUGGGUUCUUUAACCUGCUCGAGAACAUAUUCUUAGAAAUUACAUAGAAAAGCAAAAUGAAAAGAGUCAUCAAGGGCAGACAUCAUGAAAUCAUGUAGCAACCAAAACUACAGAUCAUUGCCUGAAGCCUUCUCUAUUUCAUCUUCAUUUCCAACAGAUAAUCCAGAUGAAGGAUUAAACUGCUCUCUUGCCACAAAUACAGAAUGUGGCUGUGGGAAGCAGUUUAAGCUCGACUCCAGUAUCUGGUGAGUCAGGACCAUAUCUGGUUUUGAAUAUGCUGUGCUCAUGGAUAGCCGUUGCUUCUUCAUAGACCUCUCACCUUUAGGGCUCUCGGCUGGGGAACCAACAUUACAACGUGAAUCUGGAGUCAAUGGCUCAUGGUGAGAUGAGAAUGAUUCAUCAAUAGAAAGGCUUUUGGCUGGGGCACGCUCCUUGGCAGCCUUGUCUUGAACAGGGGACUCAGAAGUUGGAGCAGGGGUCGCUGGGUCAGUCUUGUGGUCAGAUUCUGGACAACUAUCACCUGAUACCGGGGCAGAGGCCCCUGCAGCAGGCACCUCUCCAAGGACUCCACUGAGUCGUUGUUGCUCUUCAAUUAUCUUCUUCAAGUACUUCCCUUGCGCUUCAAUACGUAACUGUAGCUGUCUCUGCACCUCCAAUUGCUCAUGCAGUCGCUUUUGCACUUCCAUCUGCAGCUUCAGUGCUUCUGUAAUUUGCAUUCCAGAUGAACCAUCCAAAUUGGAAAGCAUACCUCCAGUUUCUUUCUUGUCAGAUUUUUUCCCUUCCAUUAUCAUCGAAUUAGCAUAACAAAACAGAAUUUGCACAGUAAGGAUACUAAAAAACAUGUAAUAGCAUACGUGUAUGGUCACAUAUAAACAACAGAGGACAUGAGAUGAACUUACCAUCAGAUGAAGAGUCAGGGAGGUAUUUUGCAAGUCGAUAUUUCUGUAAAUGGCUUUUCACAUGAUAGAUGGUCAAACCUUCAACAUUCAUCAGCUUUAGAACCCCCUUUGGAGUGGCCUUUUCAGCUCCACCAAGUUUGUUGACGGCCUCUACAAAACAUUCAUGAAGCUCAGGCGUCCAUCUCAUUCUUGGCUUGUGCAUUGUGGCUGGCCCAGGUGAGGGGUGACUUGAAUGAGCAUCAACAGAUGGGACCAUAGAGGCAAAAUUCUGAUUGCAUGUCAAUCCCAUAGCUGUGUUUGAUUCAGAUGUUUCGUAUAUUUCAUCAACCCUGGGAUUUUCUCCAUGGUCUGUAAUGGCUAUGUCAAGUUCAUUAGACAAAAACUGUAGCUCCAAUUGCUCUGUAAAUGCUAAAUUGUCACUAACACAAGUUAUACCAUGAAAACUACCCUCCGAAGCAUCUCCUGGCAAAUUAAGGAAGUCUUUCACAAAAGCAUCUGAAUGCUCUUCCUCGACAUGUGGAUCGGUUAUAUUCCCAUUGAAAAGCAGGGUAGAUUUUGUUGAAUCAACAGCAGAAACAGACUGGCUGUAUGUGGGAGGAUGUGGAAGAAAUGGCAAAUUUCCAAGCUGCCGAUUAGUUUCAGAGCUUGAUGAUGAUGACAGGUAUAAACUGGUGCAGAACACUGAACAUCGUUGAAAUGUACUCCUAGAAUGAUGAACAUGAGAAACAGGAGACAGAGGGCUAUCUGGUCCAGAUUUUAAACAAUACUUUGGAGGUUGGACUGUAGAUGCUUGCAUAAUUUUUGGAGAGCCCUGAGACUCUGUUGGUAUGAAAGGGGACGGACGUGAAGAACAUUCAGUUGUCAUAGAACUUUGACCUUCAGACUCAACGCUAAAAAAGCCAUGAAUUGGGGAUAUGGUAGUGAAAUAUGGCUGUGUGAUUCCUUUAGACUCGCUUUUUGCUACAGAUAUAACACCAUUGCGAUUCAUAGCGGCAACCCGACCUUUAUCCACCUGCCAACUAAACAUAUGCUAUAUGCCAACUUGGUAACAUAUGCUUCUGUCGCGUUUGAGUAGAAAAUGUGAUAUAGAGUAACAAUGAAGAAACAACAUAUGGUCAAUUUAAAGUUUCUUUUGAGUUCCAAAUCACACUGCUCCAGUUUUUAUACAGGCACCAUUUUUUUUCCUUUUUCUCUCCUAUUCAGCAGCCAGCACCCAGGCGUUACAUUUAUGUAUUGGAAGCUAAAGGAACUCCAUCCAGUCUAUAACAAGGUUAGCAGCAAACGGUCUUCUGCAGAAAGAAACCUGAGAUUAGUAGAUCCUGCUCUUUUGCUUCCAAUUGUGGCUCUUGUUAUCAAAGAAGUGAGAGGAAAAUAAUUAGGAAGAAAGACGGAAAGCAAUAAUCUUUUUUUGAUUUUGGCAGCGACAAAACAAUGAUAAGACUUAAGAGUGGCAGUUGCUUCGAAUCUAACGUUGUUUAUUUGUAAUAAAAUGGAAUCCAAAAUUUCUUUCUUUUUUUUUAUAAAUAAAUAAUUCGGCCAAAGAAUUUGGUAAUUGUAUUCCUAGAGUAAAGCUAGAAGGGAAGCAGCUGGCAUUGGC